AGGCACGUAGCUCAGUUGGUUAGAGCACCACCUUGACAUGGUGGGGGUCGUUGGUUCGAGUCCAAUCGCG
rnacentral:tRNA from 1 species